UCGAUGCAUUUUAAAAUACUUAAAACUGUUUUUCAAAAUUAAAAAUAAGUAAAGUUGAAAAAAUGCAUGUACAGGAAGAGGUGUGGUUAAAAACUUAAAGUUUAAGAAAAACAUAUACAUAUAAAACAACAGACAAAAACAAAAAAGAUGGAAAGAAAACCAACGGUCAACAAAACACAACACAGAAAACUAACAUAAGAUACAGACAACAGUAGACUGAGUAGUAUACCGCUGUUCAAUAGUCAUAAGUCCUUGAGAGAAACAUAUCCGGGUUACAAACGAAAAUCGAGGGAAACGUAUUAACUAUAAGAGAAAAACAACGGAACAACAGAAACAUUGAACUGCUACAAUUACAACGUGCGUUGAAACUAUCUAUUUGAUAACACCUGC
rnacentral:lncRNA from 1 species